rnacentral:lncRNA from 1 species
AUACAUCCUGGUGUGCUCUGCCUUGAAGUGUUUUUUUCCUGUCUGCCUGUCCAGCACCUUAUUUAUGCCCCAUUCUGUCUCUCUCUCUCGUUGCCUUUGUUCCGCGGUCUCCUGGGUGAUGGAGUUAGUGUUUGUGUGUAGGGAUGUGUGGACAAGAGGGAGCUGAUUUCUAGAGGUGAACUGGAGCUCCUGGGAGUCCUUUCCUUUGUGGGGGUUAUCAGUAUCAGAAUGGAGUGACUUCCAUCAAACUCUAACAAAAUGGAGGCGGAGACCAUGCAGAGCCAGCCUACACGCAUGCCUGUAACAGGACUUCUCACCAGGAAUCCCUGCACAUAUGCCUAUGACGGGGACUAUGCCAGGAACUCCUCACGUAUGCAGGAUUCGAGACCUUCCCCACAGUAUUAGGAUGGUUUCAUUGGCAAGUAAAAGAAACUGACCCUAACCCAGCUUAGGACUUCAGGAAAAUUGAUUGAAUGAUUGAUUGAUUGCUUCUAUGACUGAACACGCUGCCUCACCUCCAGGCCUCCUGGCUUGAUGCUCAGAGGGGCAAAAGGAGCUUCUCUCUUCUCCCAGCAGUCCCAUGUCGAAUCCUAGGUGAGCUCGGGCUGGCCUUACUCGGACACAUGCCCUUCCCUUGUGCCCUUGACUUAGCAGGAAGGAUGGGGGGCUGAUUAGCCAGACCUCGAGGGGGCCAGAAACUGUGACCGAACCCCCGAGAAUCAAUACCGUCAGCUUUGGGGAGAAGCAGCUCCCAGAAAAAAGAAACAGUAAUUGCUUAUAAUCUUGCUUUUCUUUCCAUGCUGACAAGAGACAUUUUCCCCGAGACUGACAGAAAGCGCCGUGUUGUCAAG